rnacentral:rRNA from 1 species
AGUGAACGCUGGCGGUAGGCCUAACACAUGCAAGUCGAACGGCAGCACAGUAAGAGCUUGCUCUUACGGGUGGCGAGUGGCGGACGGGUGAGGAAUACAUCGGAAUCUACUUUUUCGUGGGGGAUAACGUAGGGAAACUUACGCUAAUACCGCAUACGACCUACGGGUGAAAGCAGGGGAUCUUCGGACCUUGCGCGAUUGAAUGAGCCGAUGUCGGAUUAGCUAGUUGGCGGGGUAAAGGCCCACCAAGGCGACGAUCCGUAGCUGGUCUGAGAGGAUGAACAGCCACACUGGAACUGAGACACGGUCCAGACUCCUACGGGAGGCAGCAGUGGGGAAUAUUGGACAAUGGGCGCAGGCCUGAUCCAGCCAUACCGCGUGGGUGAAGAAGGCCUUCGGGUUGUAAAGCCCUUUUGUUGGGAAAGAAAAGCAGCAGGUUAAUACCCCGCUGUUCUGACGGUACCCAAAGAAUAAGCACCGGCUAACUUCGUG